CACAAGGCGGACAAUACUGUUCACUUCAAAAGAUGAAACUGUUAAGAUUUGUGGGGGCAAGAAAGGCAAGGCAGAGACGUGGAGGAGCCAAGUGCAGCGAAGCAGGGAUGUAAGGCAAGAGUCGCAGAGUCUCGAAAAAUGAUAUUUCAUGUCCAAAAAAAGGCAAAAAAAGGUACAUGGAAAAAAACAAAAAACAAAGUCACAAAGAAACAAUACAUGACUGGUGACACAGAGAGACAAUGGCAGAGACAUGGAAAAAUGACUUUGGCAAGGAAACUGACAUGAACAAUGGAUCGACAGGAACUGAAAGAGACAAAAUACACACAAAUUGACAAGAAAACAAGUGACACCUGUACAAGACACGAGUGGUUGGUCGGAGUUGACUGGUUGACACAAGGAAGAAGGUUAACGAGAACAGGGUUCCAAAAAAGGGCUGAUGCUGCUUACUGAGAUAAUCGACAUUGUACAGAUAUAAUAUCUGGCUGACUUCAUUGUCCUUGAACAGACCCUUCUGCUUCUCCAGAACUGAAAUUCCAAAUGUUGAAAGUUGGAUGGGUUACCCUCAAGGAAAAUAUCAAACGAAACCUGAAAAGAUGCAGUGGCAGGAAACAGGACGGGAGGAUCCAGGAUGGACAGUAAAUAUGAGAGACACAUAGUUAAAGUUCACAUAGUGGAAUAUUAUUUUGUUUGUAACAUAAUUUAAGCAAAAAGUUAUUUGUUCUAAAUGAGAGAAAAAAAUGUUCUAAGUGUUAAACAUGCAUGUAUUACUGU